UGGGGAAUAUUGCACAAUGGGGGAAACCCUGAUGCAGCGACGCCGCGUGAGCGAUGAAGGCUUUCGAGUCGUAAAGCUCUGUCCUAUGGGAAGAUAAUGACGGUAUCAUAGAAGAAAGCCCCGGCUAAUUACGUGCCAGCAGCCGCGGUAAUACGUAAGGGGCGAGCGUUGUCCGGAAUUAUUGGGCGUAAAGAGUGCGUAGGCGGCAAAUUAAGUCAGAUGUGAAAACUAAGGGCUCAACCCAUAGAUUGCAUCUGAAACUGAUAUGCUUGAGUCAAGGAGAGGAAAGUGGAAUUCCUAGUGUAGCGGUGGAAUGCGUAGAUAUUAGGAGGAAUACAGGUGGCGAAGGCGACUUUCUGGACUUGAACUGACGCUGAGGCACGAAAGCGUGGGGAGCAAACAGG
rnacentral:rRNA from 1 species